rnacentral:rRNA from 1 species
GACGAACGCUGGCGGCGUGCUUAACACAUGCAAGUCGAACGGUAAGGCCCUUCGGGGUACACGAGUGGCGAACGGGUGAGUAAUACGUGGGUGAUCUGCCCUGCACUUCGGGAUAAGCCUGGGAAACUGGGUCUAAUACCGGAUAGGACCACUGCCUGCAUGGGUGGUGGUGGAAAGCUUUUGCGGUGUGGGAUGGGCCCGCGGCCUAUCAGCUUGUUGGUGGGGUGAUGGCCUACCAAGGCGACGACGGGUAGCCGGCCUGAGAGGGUGACCGGCCACACUGGGACUGAGAUACGGCCCAGACUCCUACGGGAGGCAGCAGUGGGGAAUAUUGCACAAUGGGCGCAAGCCUGAUGCAGCGACGCCGCGUGAGGGAUGACGGCCUUCGGGUUGUAAACCUCUUUCAGCACCGACGAAGCGCAAGUGACGGUAGGUGCAGAAGAAGGACCGGCCAACUACGUGCCAGCAGCCGCAGUAAGAC